rfam:Trichobilharzia regenti genome assembly, scaffold: TRE_scaffold0023576
GCACUGCCGAAGAGUCCCAAACUAGGACGAAACAGCUGUCCCAUAC